rnacentral:rRNA from 1 species
UACGAAGGUCCCGAGCGUUAUUCGGAAUCACUGGGCGUAAAGGGAGCGUAGGCGGCGUGGAAAGUCAGAUGUGAAAUCCCGGGGCUCAACCCCGGAACUGCAUCCGAUACUACCAUGCUAGAGUAUUGGAGGGGUAACUGGAAUUCUCGGUGUAGCAGUGAAAUGCGUGGAUAUCGAGAGGAACACCUGUGGCGAAAGCGAGUUACUGGACAAUUACUGACGCUGAGGCUCGAAGGCUAGGGGAGCAAAAGGG